rnacentral:rRNA from 1 species
UUUGAACCCUAUAAAAGGUAACGCCUGCCCAGUGACUUUAUGUUUAACGGCCGCGGUACUCUGACCGUGCAAAGGUAGCGUAAUCACUUGUCUUUUAAAUAAGGACUAGUAUGAAUGGCAUCACGAGGGCUUAGCUGUCUCCCUCAUCUAAUCAGUGAAACUGAUCUCCCUGUGAAAAAGCAGGGAUAAAUACAUAAGACGAGAAGACCCUAUGGAGCUUUAAACCAAAAACUACCUGUUUAAUCUACUAUACUAAAAAUAAUACUAAAAUAACUGAUCUAGCUUAGGUUUUCAGUUGGGGUGACUGUGGAGAAAAAUAAAUCCUCCACGCAGACUUAAGCUUUGAGCAACCGCUCUACGCAUUAGCAAGUCUAACUGCACUUGAUCCAAUAUUUUUGAUCAACGGACCAAGUUACCCUAGGGAUAACAGCGCAAUCCAUUUCAAGAGUCCAUAUCGACAAAUGGGUUUACGACCUCGAUGUUGGAUUAGGACACCCAAGUGGUGCAGCCGCUACUUAAGGUUCGUUUGUUC